GUUGGUUUGUAGCUAUCAAUUAUUGCUGUAGAGAAGCCUUGAUGAGCUGCUGAACUAUUUACACAAUGAGAGCUAUUCCAAAACAGUAAAAACACAGCAGGUGUGAAGUUGUCAACCUGUCAUCUUAAUGCCUUUUAAAUGUUAAGAGUCUAUGAAGCCAAGCUGCCUGACAUUCUUCUCCAAUAACUUUUGCCACGUUACUGACAGUACUUUCAUACACAGAGUUCAUUACAGUGGACUGUGAACACACUCUGAGGGCAUUGAAAUUCAGGCCUGAAUGUACUACAGUGCAUACACAUUUAUGUACAGUUCAUUCACACUACUGUCCCCUACAAACAUCUUGUCACUACCAUACAUUGAAAAUGUCUUGUAUAAUUAUUUUUACCCACCUUUUGCCUCAGAUAAAUAAAAAGUUACUACAUAAUUGUUAUUAUUUUAUUUAGUUUCAGACAGGGUUGUAACCAUCAUAGACAUUGACAACAUUCAGAAUAGCGGUUGAUUUUUAAAUGUAUAUUUUUCUAUAGGAUUAAUCACAAUAAUUGAACAAGGAUUGACCCCACCCUCCAAAUGUUUUUUGAGCACUUGCAUUACACAGGCAUAUAUAAUGUGUCCUACAAGAGAUAUGGCCAAGAGAGCAAGUAUAUAUUUAGUGCAUGUUUCUGUAGACUGUUUGGCUCAGACAAGACUGAGCUGCAGGGCACAACAGGGCAGUCGUCACAGUUGACAUUUGGCAACAUUUGCAGGAACGUGCAAAUAGGAUGCCAAGCAAGUUUUGAAACAUCAAGGAAAUGGCUUUGAAUGUGAUGCCCUUGGAGACAAACAACUGCACACUGGAUCAGUAUAUCCUCUAUGCCCUCCUGCUAAGUGGAUCCUACUCCACCUCACACCUGCCCCUGAGUCUCCAGAGACUGCUCCAGCCCCAGAGUUCAUCCCAGAGUCCUCUUCAUCCUCCAGUCUGGACACCAAAUUGACACCAGUCUGGACUGACCAUGAAGUCAGUCCGUGCAUCUAUAAAAAUGUUUCCAGUGGUGAUCCCAGAGCUCUCAAAUCCGUUGGUCCCAAGUCCGCUGGUCCCAGCGCUUCCGAGUCCAGUGGUCACAGAGGUACUUCCACCGUCAGCUGAGCUUCCUGUGAUGGCAACUGCCGUUUUGUGUGUUUGGGCCGCAUACACUUCUCCUGCUUCUUCCAAAGUGUCAGAGAACGCUACUGCUCCUCCCAAGGUGGCUAUCAACUCUCAGAAAAAUAACUCUUUCUUACUGGGUACAGUAGUACUCAGAGCAUGUAGCCUUGAUCGCAUUGUUAAAGAAACUUUGUUUUGCAAGCAGUGAUCACAGAAUCAAUACAAUUGUGAAUGUUCACAAAAGUUUUAUUUAGCUAAAUCACGAACAUAUAACUAUAACUAGUUAUAUGUUUAUAUAGUUUAAACAAACACAUACACACAAUCACACAUAUAUGGGUAAAAUGGUGAAACUGAACAAAUGAAACAGAAACAGGGGAAUGAGGCCAUGGAAAUGUAAGUGUCGGUUAACCACCUGAAAAACAAACAAACAAACAAA